GAUGAACGCUAGCGGUAUGCUUAACACAUGCAAGUCGUACGGGAGUUUUUAACUCAAGUGGCGGACGGGUGAGUAACACGUGAGAAUUUACCUUUAGGAGGGGGAUAACAAUUGGAAACGAUUGCUAAUACCCCAUAUGCUUUUUAAGUGAAACGGAUUUAUUCGCCUAAAGAAAAGCUCGCGGCUGAUUAGCUAGUUGGUAAGGUAAUGGCUUACCAAGGCGACGAUCAGUAUCUGGUUUGAGAGGAUGAUCAGACACACUGGAACUGAGACACGGUCCAGACUCCUACGGGAGGCAGCAGUGGGGAAUUUUCCGCAAUGGGCGAAAGCCUGACGGAGCAAUACCGCGUGAGGGAAGAAAGCCUACUGGGUUGUAAACCUCUUUUUUCAGGGAGGAAAAAAUGACGUGUACCUGAAGAAUAAGCAUCGGCUAACUCCGUGCCAGCAGCCGCGGUAAAGUGACUACUG
rnacentral:rRNA from 1 species